rnacentral:rRNA from 1 species
CGAGCGGACAGAUGGGAGCUUGCUCCCUGAUGUUAGCGGCGGACGGGUGAGUAACACGUGGGUAACCUGCCUGUAAGACUGGGAUAACUCCGGGAAACCGGGGCUAAUACCGGAUGCUUGUUUGAACCGCAUGGUUCAAACAUAAAAGGUGGCUUCGGCUACCACUUACAGAUGGACCCGCGGCGCAUUAGCUAGUUGGUGAGGUAAUGGCUCACCAAGGCAACGAUGCGUAACCGACCUGAGAGGGUGAUCGGCCACACUGGGACUGAGACACGGCCCAGACUCCUACGGGAGGCAGCAGUAGGGAAUCUUCCGCAAUGGACGAAAGUCUGACGGAGCAACGCCGCGUGAGUGAUGAAGGUUUUCGGAUCGUAAAGCUCUGUUGUUAGGGAAGAACAAGUACCGUUCGAAUAGGGCGGUACCUUGACGGUACCUAACCAGAAAGCCACGGCUAACUACGUGCCAGCAGCCGCGGUAAUACGUAGGUGGCAAGCGUUGUCCGGAAUUAUUGGGCGUAAAGGGCUCGCAGGCGGUUCCUUAAGUCUGAUGUGAAAGCCCCCGGCUCAACCGGGGAGGGUCAUUGGAAACUGGGGAACUUGAGUGCAAAAGAAGAGAGUGGAAUUCCACGUGUAGCGGUGAAAUGCGUAUAGAUGUGGAGGAACACCAGUGGCGAAAGCGACUCUCUGGUCUGUAACUGACGCUGAGGAGCGAAAGCGUGGGGAGCGAACAGGAUUACAUACCCUGGUAGUCCACGCCGUAAACGAUGAGUGCUAAGUGUUAGGGGGUUUCCGCCCCUUAGUGCUGCAGCUAACGCAUUAAGCACUCCGCCUGGGGAGUACGGUCGCAAGACUGAAACUCAAAGGAAUUGACGGGGGCCCGCACAA